GACGAACCGAGCGAACGUUGUUCGGAAUCACUGGGCUUAAAGGGCGAGUAGGCGGCCUUCUAAGUCAGACGUGAAAUCCCUCAGCUUAACUGGGGAACUGCGUCUGAUACUGGAUGGCUUGAGUUUGGGAGAGGGAUGCGGAAUUCCAGGUGUAGCGGUGAAAUGCGUAGAUAUCUGGAGGAACACCGGUGGCGAAGGCGGCAUCCUGGACCAACACUGACACUGAGGAGCGAAAGCCAGGGGAGCAAACGGG
rnacentral:rRNA from 1 species